rnacentral:lncRNA from 1 species
AAAUUAGAUUGAUUAAUUUUAAAAUAUGUAUUGCAAGGUUUUUUUUUUUUUAAGAAAAGAUAACACGCUAUCUGUUUCGUUCAUUAAAAAUAUGAAUUAAGCAAUAUGAGUGAGGUAAAAUAAAGCCUCGGUGGAAGCUAAAAGAAAAGAGGUUAAGAUAGUUGGAUUUUAGAGUAGAGAAUAUUCUCCUACUGGGUUGCCAAUCGUUUGAUUUUUAGCGACCGUCAUCAAAAAGUCUGCGUUAAGUAUCUCUAAAAAUACCACUAUUCUGUGUAUCCAAAAUGACCCACUAGUAAGCUAUCAGACUAGUCAAUCUUGUUCGAAUCAGCUAUGAUCUGUUCCUUAACAUCAACCUAUCCCACAUACGUACAUCUCACAUCGUCCCCUAAAUUUCUAAAUUAAACCCCCUCUAGGGUCAUCACAAUCAGAAAUUUACUAAAAACACACUGUAUGAAUAGAUGGUCGACUGUCUCCUUCUCGAUCCCAAGGUUUUAGUUGCAUGCGCUGUACAUAUAUGAUAUGUACUUAGACACCCAAUGCAGGUAAUAAUUUUAAUGGGUAAUAAAGGUUAAAUUGUAAAAAAUAAUUAGGCUAAAUAUUGCGAACUUAGAAAUAUU